rnacentral:misc_RNA from 1 species
GCAAACUUGGUCAUUUAGAGGAAGUAAAAGUCGUAACAAGGUUUCCGUAGGUGAACCUGCGGAAGGAUCAUUAAUGAAUUAAAUGAUGAGGUUGUUGCUGGCCCUAUAUAUAUGGGCAUGUGCACAUCUUGUCAAUUCAUCCACACACUUUUGUGCACUUUUCAUGGAUUGGCUUAUGAAUAGAAGUUGCCUCUUGGGUGGCUUUUGAGCCCUUCUGUGUAUUUUAUUACAAACAUUUUCAGUCUUAGAAUGUAAAUUUUGCAAUUAAUGCAAUGAAAUAUAUAACUUUCAGCAACGGAUCUCUUGGCUCUCGCAUCGAUGAAGAACGCAGC